AUCACUUGUUCUUUAAAUGAGGACUUGUAUCAACGGCAUCACGAGGGUUAAACUGUCUCCUUUUCCCUAUCAGUAAAACUAAUCUCCCCGUGAAGAAGCGGGGAUAAUUUUAUAAGACGAGAAGACCCCAUGGAGCUUUAAACCCAACUACACCCCCUCUAAUUUUACUUUUAAGCACACAGGGCCCUGUAUGUUCUGGUUUUAGGUUGGGGUGACCACGGAGCAUAAACCAGCCUCCAUAAUGAAUAGACCUCCUCUUUAUCCAAGACUCACACUUCUAAGAAUUAGCAAUCUAACAUAAAAUGAUCCGAUAUUCGAUCAACGAACCAAGUUACCCUGGGGAUAACAGCGCAAUCUACUUCAAGAGCCCCUAUCGACAAGUAGGUUUACGACCUCGAUGUUGGAUCAGGGUAUCCCAGUGGUGCAGCAGCUGCUAAAGGUUCGUUUGUUCAACGAUCAAA
rnacentral:rRNA from 1 species